rnacentral:tRNA from 1 species
GCGCUAGUAGUUCAGGGGUGAGUGCAGUCGUCUUAUAUGCGAUUGGCCGGUGGUUCAAAUCCACCCUAGCGUACCA